rnacentral:rRNA from 1 species
UACGUAGGGUGUGAGCGUUAAUCGGAAUUACUGGGCGUAAAGCGUGCGCAGGUGGUUGUGCAAGACAGAUGUGAAAUCCCCGGGCUUAACCUGGGAACUGCAUUUGUGACUGCACAGCUGGAGUGCGGCAGAGGGGGAUGGAAUUCCGCGUGUAGCAGUGAAAUGCGUAGAUAUGCGGAGGAACACCGAUGGCGAAGGCAAUCCCCUGGGCCUGCACUGACGCUCAUGCACGAAAGCGUGGGGAGCAAACAGG